rnacentral:tRNA from 1 species
GCUGGAGUAGCUCAGUCGGUAGAGCACCUCACUCGUAAUGAGGGGGUCGUGGGUUCGAGUCCCAUCUCCAGCU